AGUUACCCAUCUGCAGAGGCACAGCAUAUCCUUGCUAAGGAUAUAGUUGCACUUUUUCCGCAGCUGAGGUAUGACGAGACGAAGCCGACUGGUGCACCAGAUGAGUGGAUUUUUUUCUGGCCUCAUGGAGGAUCUGAACGAGGACCUCAUAGCGGGCAGAUUUAUCACCACAUCCGAAAUGCCAUCAAACGAUUGCCUGAUGGAAUGCGAAAAUUCAAACGCGCUAGAAUGGAUUCGCACACGGCUGUCGAUUCGGCAAUUGUGGCUCGCGCUCGUUCUUUGCGCUCAAUGGAAGCAGCGGAAAAGUCAUUUGUUUCUAAAGAAAUGGAAGCAUGCUUUCCACUCCAUCAGAUGUUCCUGUUCGAGAAAAAACUAUUGAUGACUUUGCGGACAUGUUUCCCUAUUUAAUCAAAUUUCAAGGCAUACUGAUUCAUCAAACUUUCUCUCGAAUUGCUCCAGCAUGUGAUCCGAGGCCAGAUUACAAAGGCGUACUGGCAAAAUGUUUGCUGUACAAUUCCCAGCGGUAUAUCAACGUAGAGGAUGAAUAUAUCCGUGCACUGCUAAGGAUCUAUGAUCAAAUGCCAGUUCGGGGAGUCCAACGGAAACUCAAUAGAUUCCCGUCUACUGAAAUGCAUGCCGUGGAACAUUUGGUUCGAAGGAUCAAG